UAAGAGAUGGAUUAAGGGCCGCAU
rnacentral:piRNA from 1 species